GGUCUGUUGGUCUAGAGGUAUGAUUCCUUCUUAGGGUGAAGGAGGUCCUGGGUUCAAUUCCUGGAUGGAUCC
rnacentral:tRNA from 1 species